rnacentral:lncRNA from 1 species
AAAAGCAUACAACACUUGAAAAUGGUCAGUAGAAAAAUAUUAUGGUAGAAUCAAAUCAUGUUGCCAACAAAAAUGCCACAGCAAACAAUAUCAGCAACCUGAAGGACGACCACCUCCACCAUUUCCUUAGCUAAUUCAUGUGCAUAAAAGCUUACUGACUAUGAGGGUGAAUGAUCAGCAGGUUACAUUUAACAUAUUUGAUGCCCUG